rnacentral:sRNA from 1 species
AAAUUAAAAGGGGGCAGGUGGGGAUAAAUAAAUAAAAAAGUGGGUCACCACAAAAGAAAACAAAAAAAUAACAAAACAAAAAAGCCACCAAGGACAACAAGAUGUGUCAAUCUGUUACUGAUCAAUCGAGGCAGGCACCUUCAUGGACAGAUCCCUUCACUCAGCACCUUCAACCUAUCCUUUCUUUUAUUGCCAACUAAAAUAUCAUGAAAGCUGAGGACUCCGGGAGGCAGUUCUGUACCUCACUUUAAAGUGAGCAUGCUCAGGGAAUGUGAUCCUAACAUGCUCAUGAGUGAAAGUUCACACCCCUCUCUAUGGAGAUGUAUGCACCUUACAUAAAAUUCCUAUGCUUCCUCUGUUGGGGAGGGAGUCAGAGCUCUGCUUUGGAAAUGACUCCUGUACCAGCUUUGCCUGAUUCAGGCACUAAGUAUCUCUCCACUGGUGUCCUAUUUCCUUGUUUAUUUUGGCUCUGAGUUAGACUUGCUGGAUCAGGUUACUCAUUGGUGUUACCCCAGGGAAGCUUUGAAUUGCUGGUUACAUUAAAGAACCCCUUUCAGGAAAGACCUCUCUGUACUGCUGGAUAUAAAACAGCUGUUGUGAAGAGAGCAGCAAUGAACAAGGCUGAGCAAGCGUCUGUGGACCACGAUGUGGAGUCCUUUGGGCAUGGGCCAAGGAGCGGUACAG